rnacentral:rRNA from 1 species
UACAGAGGGUGCUAGCGUUGUUCGGAAUUAUUGGGCGUAAAGGGCUCGUAGGCGGUCUGUCACGUCGGGAGUGAAAACUCAGGGCUUAACCCUGAGCCUGCUUCCGAUACGGGCAGACUAGAGGUAUGCAGGGGAGAACGGAAUUCCUGGUGUAGCGGUGAAAUGCGCAGAUAUCAGGAGGAACACCGGUGGCGAAGGCGGUUCUCUGGGCAUUACCUGACGCUGAGGAGCGAAAGUGUGGGGAGCGAACAGG